UUUUAAUGGGUGAUAAAAUGUUCGUUGAACUUUGACAUUUACUCUAGCUCAAAUAAAAUCCCAAAAUCCAACUAAGCUAAACUUAUAUAUUAAAAAUAAAUAAGAUAUGUUGAACUCAAGUGAUUAAUGAGUUUCUUCUAAGAUGAAUCAUUUGAAAGAACCUGAGUUCAAUUCCUAACUUAUCGGGACCUCCUUCCCCUUAAAAUCAAAUGGUUAAUGCUAAAAAAAACUUACAUAUUCAAAACAAAAAAUAAUAAUAAUUUUAGUUCCAAUGUUUUAGCCCUUGUCGCAUCGAUUUCUUUAAAAUAUUUUUUUAAAAAAAAUUGUAGUAAGUUUUAAUAAUAUUGGAAACCUAAAAAUGUUUUUUAAGAAUCUAGGAUACUCAUAAGGUAGGGUACAAAAAUUAAAAUUAUGUUCA
rnacentral:lncRNA from 1 species